CAAUCCGUUAAAUUAAUAAAGAGUUGGUAAAGCCAUAUAUUGUAUAACGGUUUAUUGUGCUGAUGAUAAUAUAGUUAUAAAACGAGCCUGAUCUUUAUUUGUUUUUAUAUAUAGUAUUUUAAUUUAAAAGAUUUUUGAAGAGAUUCGCCCUAACUAGAUCUAGGGAACUAAAUAUAGAAGUAAAAAUACAGUUGAGGAAUUGCUAAAGGUCAAUAUCUAAGUUAAAUAAUCUCUUAUCUCUCUUGUCUCUUUUUAUUUAUCACCAUUUCUCUGUUUAAUAUUUUUUCUUAUUCUGGGAUUCAAUUACGACUGUUUAUUAUAUGCUAAACACGCGUAUAAAUAUAUAAUUAAUUAAUUAAGAUGAACUAAUUACUAGAAACAGCUAUCGAUUGCUGGUCUAAAAUUUAUGAAAUGCUUUCUACGUCCCUAUAAAAAAAGGAGGGAGCGUUUCCCCAUUACAGUAUAUUCCUGUCAUCAUCAGGGGCGGCUCUAGGCGUGAUCCAAGUAGCCAUUGGCUGAUUUGGAGUGCCAUAAAUUGAGAGUUAAAAUAAAAAAAAAAUCAUUUUUACUAUAGCUUUAUUAUUAUAUGAGUUACGAAAUAUAUUCCCGGGCAGGAUUAAACUUUUUCUAAUCAAAAUUAAUAAAUUGCAAAAUUCGCAGAUUUAAAAAAUUAAUUACUUUUUGAAACCGUUUUUCAUUUAUUAAUAUUAUGAGGAACUUCAGAAAUUUUUGUGCCGACAUUGAUUAGCUCGUAUGUUACAUAUAUUACCUAAAUCAGAUCUAAUCUAAACUUAUACAGUACGUUUCACUAUCGGAUAAAUAGAGAAACAUGCUAAAAACGUAUCAUUGGAGUGAUAAAACACUGAUGAUACUGUAUAGAGCCAGUCCACUUCAGACUAUUUAUAUAUAAAAUAAUUAUAGAUUUUUAUUUAAAAUAUAAAGAAAUGUUUAGUAAUUAAGUUUAUUUUGCGCAUAGAAAUGCAUUAAACGCAAAAUAGAGACGUUAAGAUAACCAUUCUACGCUAGUUAGAUAUAAAAAUAAAUAAAAAUACUCAUUUCCUAUAACUAGUUCGCCAUAGAAGCUGCAUGGCACAUCUGAUUUUUUACACUUUAAUAAGAGAAGAUAUUUUAUCGGGCGGAUGUCAUUGUCAUAAAUACUGCUGCACUUUUAAAAGAAACGAUCGAUCGUUUUCUAUUUCGACGGAGAUUAAAGCGGCGUUUUCUUGCAACCAUUGUUUGCUACGUCUUAAGAACAGCUCGAUAAAAGAACGAGAGAGCACCGUGGAUGGAAGAAAUCUGAUCGUUAAAUCAGUACUGGCUUGAAUUUUAACUAAAAUGAAAAAACUGAAGGGGGGACUCUACCUAAUUCAACGUUUAAGGCACUAAUCGAUUAUUAUAUAACGCGAUAUCGAUUCUCCUUCACUGGCAUAGUUAACAUUCAUUCGAUUUUUUACUUAAUCGAUUGAUUAUAAUAGUUUUAAUUAUACAUUUUAAUUAGGAAAAUUUCUGAAUUUCUCAUUCAGUCUGUUUCUAUGUUUAAUUCAAAUAACCGAUUUUUAUGCGAACAACUGAUUUUUUAGAGUAAUUAUAAUGAAUUCUAUAAUUAAACUAGAGAAUCUCCGGAAUUGAAAAAAAAAAAAAUUGUGUUAAUCACGUAACAGAUUAUGUAUAAUGCAUUUGAUUAAUAUCUCAAAUCGAUUUGUAUAUAAUCAGUUUUAUCUAUAUAAAAUAUCUUUAUUUACGAUUCGAAUUAUCAUCCAUUUUAUUUUUCGAUUAUGCUUCCUGUAAGCGUCUAAACGGUAAGAACCGUGUGACGCAAAAUAUCCCGCGGUCGAAUCAUAUUAAAGAAACGAAGUCAAGUUAAAAAGACUUAUCGAUGUGUCCUUUGGCCGUAAUUCGUCGGUCGUUCUCUUCACUUCCGAAUGUUGAUAAAAACCGGUUAUGUCAAACAAGAUCAAGAUGAUAAUUAGAGCAGAACUUUGUUGGUCUCGUGUCCAACUAAUCGACUAACGAAAAGAUAAGAUUGAAAUUUUAAAUAUGGAAUUGUGGUAAUCGAUUGGACUGGUAAAAGGGGCAUUGUGCUGAAUUAUUAGUGUAUCUGAAUGAUGUCUGUGCGUGCCUGCAUCCGCCAUCUUCUUGAUAAAGUUACCAUUCCUACAACUAUCUUUGCCAUAUCGCUUUUAUUAUAAAAAUAUUCGUUACAAUUUCUUAAAUUUUAUUGGCAGGAUCUAGAUUAUCUAACAUAAUACGAAGUAGAAAUUUUUAAUGGGUUUAUAUAAAUAUAUAUGAUAUAUUUAAUAAUCCGUAUGGAGUAUUGUUC
rnacentral:lncRNA from 1 species